rnacentral:rRNA from 1 species
UGUACUAUAAUUUCUUAGUAAUAAGUUACACGAAUAUGGGCGAGCUAAAAAAAACUAUAUAUUAGUAUUAUAAAAUAAUUGUAGUAAUAAUUAUGCGAAAUAAUUUUUUAGGGGUGAAAGGCCUAUCAAGCUCAUUGAUAUCUUGAUAGGUAAGAGAAAUAUGUAGUAUAUAUUCAGACCAAAAAUGCUAAGGUUUUUGGUAGGUAUUAUAGUUUAUAAUUAUUUAGAAAUCUAUCUGGUUAAUUUCUAUAGAUUUAAAUAGGUUAUUAUAUAUAAAUAAAUUGUUAUACUUUUUACUACCUAGUAAUUACGAAUAUCUCUUAAUUAGUGAUAAUGUACAUAUUAGUAUUAUAUAAGUUUUUAUUAAGGAACUCGGCAAAAGAAUUUUCGACUGUUUAUCAAAAACAUAGCUCUAUGUUAUUAUUUAGGGUUAUCCCUGCUCAAUGGUAUACUAAAUAGCCGCAGUACCUUGACUGUGCAAAGGUAGCAUAAUCAAUUGGCUUAUAAUUGAAGUCUAGCAUGAAAGGGUUUACGGAAAUUGACUGUCUUAAUUAUUAAGUGUUUAGAAUUUACUAAAUAAGUGAAAAUUCUUAUAUAUAGAAGCUAGACGAGAAGACCCUAGAAAUUUUUUAAAUAUUAUUAUUAAUUUAUUUUGUUGGGGCGACAAGGUAACAAAUAACUUACCUAAAAGUAAUAAGAAAAUAAUUAUUUAAGUAAAUAAAUUACUCUAGGGAUAACAGCACAAUUUAUUAAUAAGUUUGUGACCUCGAUGUUGGACUAGGAUUUACUCUAUUCAAAAAAUAGAUUAAUCGGCUCUGUUCGAGCUUUACUUCCUACAUGAUCUGAGUUCA